rnacentral:rRNA from 1 species
CAGCCGCCGCGGGAAUACGAAGGGGGCUAGCGUUGUUCGGAUUUACUGGGCGUAAAGCGCACGUAGGCGGAUCGAUCAGUCAGGGGUGAAAUCCCAGAGCUCAACCCUGGAACUGCCUUUGAUACUGUCGAUCUGGAGUAUGGAAGAGGUGAGUGGAAUUCCGAGUGUAGAGGUGAAAUUCGUAGAUAUUCGGAGGAACACCAGUGGCGAAGGCGGCUCACUGGUCCAUUACUGACGCUGAGGUGCGAAAGCGUGGGGAGCAAACAGGAUUAGAUACCCCUGUAGUCCCUGUCUCUUAUAC